rnacentral:lncRNA from 1 species
GGGCAGGAGAGGACGCCGCUGGACGAGGCGGUGACGCCUGGGCAGGAGAGGACGCCGCGGGACGAGGCGGCGGUGUCUGGGCAGGAGAGGGCGCCGCGGGAGGAGGUGGCGGCUCUGGCCACCAGUCCUCCAGGGGCGGCUCGGGCCACCAGUCCUCCAGGGGCGGCUCGGGCGGACCCUGGGCAGCAGGGGGAGCUGGCGGACACUGGGCAGCAGGGGGAGCUGGCGGACACUGGGCAGCAGGGGAGCUGGCGGACACUGGGCAGCAGGGGAGCUGGCGGACACUGGGCAGCAGGGGGAGCUGGCGGACACUGGCUGCAGGGGGAGCUGGCGGACACUGGGCUGCAGGGGGAGCUGGCGGACACUGGCAGCAGGGGGAGCUGGCGGACACUGGGCAGCAGGGGGAGCUGGCGGACACUGGGCUGCAGGGGGAGCUGGCGGACACUGGGCUGCAGGGGGAGCUGGCGGACACUGGGCUGCAGGGGGAGCUGGCUGCCUCUCCAGGGCAGCAGGGGGCGCUGGCUGCCUCUCCAGGGCAGCAGGGGGCGCUGGCUGCCUCUCCAGGGCAGCAGGGGGCGCUGGCUGCCUCUCCAGGGCAGCAGGGGGCGCUGGCUGCCUCUCCAGGGCAGCAGGGGGCGCUGGCUGCCUCUCCAGGGCAGCAGGGGCGCUGGCUGCCUCUCCAGGGCAGCAGGGGGCGCUGGCUGCCUCUCCAGGGCAGCAGGGGGCGCUGGCUGCCUCUCCAGGGCAGCAGGGGGCGCUGGCUGCCUCUCCAGGGCAGCAGGGGGCGGGACCGGUAGCGGAGCUGGAACAGGGACCGGGGCAGGCCGCGGGACCGGAGUAGGGACCGGGGCAGGCCGCGGGACCGGAGUAGGGACCGGAGUAGGGACCGGAGUAGGGACCGGGGCAGGCCGCGGGACCGGAGUAGGGACCGGAGUAGGGACCGGGGCAGGCCGCGGGACCGGGGCAGGCCGCGGGACCGGAGUAGGGACCAGAGUAGGGACCGGGGCAGGGACCGGGGCAGGCCGCGGGACCGGAGUAGGGACCGGGGCAGGCCGCGGGACCGGGGCAGGCCGCGGGACCGGAGUAGGGACCGGAGUAGGGACCGGAGUAGGGACCGGGGCAGGCCGCGGGACAGGAGUAGGGACCGGGGCAGGCCGCGGGACCGGGGCAGGCCGCAGGACCGGAGUAGGGACCGGGGCAGGCCGCAGGACCGGAGUAGGGACCGGAGUAGGGACCGGGGCAGGCCGCGGGACAGGAGUAGGGACCGGGGCAGGCCGCGGGACAGGAGUAGGGACCGGGGCUGACCGCGGGACAGGAGUAGGGACCGGGGCUGACCACGGGACACGAGUAAGGACCGGGGCAGGCCGCGGGACAGGAGUGGGGACCGGGGCAGGCCGCGGGACACGAGUAGAGGCCGGGGCAGGCCGCGGGACACGAGUAGAGGCCGGGGCAGGCCGCGGGACAGGAGUAGGGCCCUGGGCUGACCGCGGGACAGGAGUGGGUAGCGGGGUACGCCGAAUGGCCAGCCUGCUACCACGCCAGGCCGCUCGGGGAACCUGGGAAAUGAGACAGGGUGCCGACCGGAAUGGGUCUCUGGGUCGGCUUUGCUGUGGCUGA